AACGCACGAGACCUGCGGACCUGCGGAAGGAUCAUUAAUUAUUUCUGGGUUUUUCUCCCAGUUUUAAAACCACCUUUUACUGUGAAUUGUAUUUAACUAUAUGACGUUUUGAGGGAUGUCCAGAUUGCUAUAUUGGGUAGGUGUCUGGAAUGAUUUUAACCUAGUCAUAGUCAAGCUUAGGCUUGGUACCCUAUUUAUUAUUAUUUACCAAAAGAAUUCAGAAUUUUAAAUUGUAACAUA
rnacentral:misc_RNA from 1 species